CUGUGCAAAGGUAGCAUAAUCAUUAGUUUUUUAAUUGAAGGCUUGUAUGAAGGGUCUGACAAAGAAAAAGCUGUCUUUAGUUUUAUUUUUGAAUUUAACUUUUAAGUGAAAAGGCUUAAAUAAAUUUAAGGGACGAUAAGACCCUAUAAAUCUUUAUAUUAAAUUAUUAUCUUGAAUUUUAAUGUUUGUUUAGAUAUUAACAAGUAAAAUAAUAAAUAUUUUGUUGGGGUGACAAGAAUAUAAAAAUAACUGUUCUUAAGAAAAACAAAGUUGUUUGUAUAAAAUUUUAUAGAUCCUUUUUAAAGAUUAAGAGUUUAAGUUACUUUAGGGAUAACAGCGUUAUUUUUUUUUGAGAGUUCUUAUCGAAAAAAAAGUUUGCGACCUCGAUGUUGAAUUAAAAUUUCUUUACGGUGUAGAAGUUGUAAGAGAAAGUCUGUUCGACUUUUGAAAUUUU
rnacentral:rRNA from 1 species